rnacentral:misc_RNA from 1 species
UCCGGUUUGUUUCCGGCAGUCUCUCUAGAUAUUCAACUAGAAACGAGGGUUGCGCUCGUUGCGGGACUUAACCCAACAUCUCACGACACGAGCUGACGACAGCCAUGCAGCAUCUGUCUAUCCGUCCCUUGCGGGAGGCAGUUGUUUCCAACUGUUGCGAAUAGAUGUCAAGCCCAGGUAAGGUUCUUCGCGUUGCAUCGAAUUAAACCACACGCUCCGCUGCUUGUGCGGGUCCCCGUCAAUUCCUUUGAGUUUUAGUCUUGCGACCGUACUCCCCAGGCGGGCCACUUAAUGCGUUAGCUUCGGCACGGAAGGGGUCAACACCCCCCACACCUAGUGGCCAUCGUUUACUGCUAGGACUAC